AGAGUUUGAUCAUGGCUCAGGACGAACGCUGGCGGCGUGCUUAACACAUGCAAGUCGAACGGAAAGGCCCUUCGGGGUACUCGAGUGGCGAACGGGUGAGUAACACGUGGGUGAUCUGCCCUGCACUUUGGGAUAAGCCUGGGAAACUGGGUCUAAUACCGAAUAGGACCACGCGCUUCAUGGUGUGUGGUGGAAAGCUUUUGCGGUGUGGGAUGGGCCCGCGGCCUAUCAGCUUGUUGGUGGGGUAAUGGCCUACCAAGGCGACGACGGGUAGCCGGCCUGAGAGGGUGACCGGCCACACUGGGACUGAGAUACGGCCCAGACUCCUACGGGAGGCAGCAGUGGGGAAUAUUGCACAAUGGGCGCAAGCCUGAUGCAGCGACGCCGCGUGAGGGAUGACGGCCUUCGGGUUGUAAACCUCUUUCAAUAGGGACGAAGCGCAAGUGACGGUACCUAUAGAAGAAGCACCGGCCAACUACGUGCCAGCAGCCGCGGUAAUACGUAGGGUGCGAGCGUUGUCCGGAAUUACUGGGCGUAAAGAGCUCGUAGGUGGUUUGUCGCGUUGUUCGUGAAAACUCACAGCUUAACUGUGGGCGUGCGGGCGAUACGGGCAGACUAGAGUACUGCAGGGGAGACUGGAAUUCCUGGUGUAGCGGUGGAAUGCGCAGAUAUCAGGAGGAACACCGGUGGCGAAGGCGGGUCUCUGGGCAGUAACUGACGCUGAGGAGCGAAAGCGUGGGGAGCGAACAGGAUUAGAUACCCUGGUAGUCC
rnacentral:rRNA from 1 species